AUAAAGUUUACUUUAAGAAGUGACUUAGUGGCGGACGGGUGAGUAACGCGUGGGUAACCUGCCUUACACAGGGGGAUAACAGUUAGAAAUGACUGCUAAUACCGCAUAAAACAGCAGAGUCGCAUGACUCAACUGUCAAAGAUUUAUCGGUGUAAGAUGGACCCGCGUCUGAUUAGCUGGUUGGUGGGGUAACGGCCUACCAAGGCGACGAUCAGUAGCUGGUCUGAGAGGACGAUCAGCCACACUGGGACUGAGACACGGCCCAGACUCC
rnacentral:rRNA from 1 species